UACAGAGGGGGCAAGCGUUGUUCGGAAUUACUGGGCGUAAAGGGCGCGUAGGCGGCCCGCUAAGUCGAACGUGAAAUCCCCAGGCUCAACCUGGGAACUGCGUCCGAUACUGGCAGGCUUGAAUCCGGGAGAGGGAUGUGGAAUUCCAGGUGUAGCGGUGAAAUGCGUAGAUAUCUGGAGGAACACCGGUGGCGAAGGUGGUUCUCCGGGCAUUACCUGACGCUGAGGAGCGAAAGUGUGGGGAGCGAACAGG
rnacentral:rRNA from 1 species